CUACGGGUGGCUGCCGUCGAGAAUCUUUCGCAAUGGGGGAAACCCUGACGACGCGACGCCGCGUGGAGGAUGAAGGCCUUCGGGUUGUAAACUCCUGUCAGCAGGGGAGAACAAGCUGUCGAUGAAUAAUUGACAGCUUUGACAGUACCUGCAGAGGAAGCCACGGCUAACUCUGUGCCAGCAGCCGCGGUAAUACAGAGGUGGCAAGCGUUGUUCGGAUUUAUUGGGCGUAAAGGGUCCGUAGGCGGCCUGGAAAGUUGGAUGUGUAAUCCCACAGCUUAACUGUGGAACUGCAUUCAAAACUUCUAGGCUCGAGUGUGAUAGGGGUAAAGGGAAUUCCCGGUGUAAGGGUGAAAUCUGCAGAGAUCGGGAGGAACACCAGUCGCGAAGGCGCUUUACUGGAUCACUACUGACGCUGAGGGACGAAAGCCAGGGGAGCAAACG
rnacentral:rRNA from 1 species